rnacentral:rRNA from 1 species
CAGUAGCCACGGGAAUACGUAGGUGGCAAGCGUUGUCCGGAAUUAUUGGGCGUAAAACGCGCGCAGGCGGAUCAGUCAGUCUGUCUUAAAAGUUCGGGGCUUAACCCCGUGAGGGGAUGGAAACUGCUGAUCUAGAGUAUCGGAGAGGAAAGUGGAAUUCCUAGUGUAGCGGUGAAAUGCGUAGAUAUUAGGAAGAACACCAGUGGCGAAGGCGGCUUACUGGACGACAACUGACGUUGAGGCUCGAAGGCGUGGGUAGCAAACAGGAUUAGAUACCCCAGUAGUCCCUGUCUCUUAUACA